GUGUUGUUUCAGCAGCACGCCUAAUAAAAUUUUGAAAACUACAGAGAUUAGCAUGUGCAAGGAUGACAUACAAAUUUGUGAAAUGUUUCAUAUUUUA
rnacentral:snRNA from 1 species